GAAAUUACGCCUUCCAUGAAGCUGGAAUUGCUAGUAAUGGCAGGUCAGCAUACUGCCGUGAAUACGUUCCCGGGCCUUGUACACACCGCCCGUCACACCAUGAGAGUUGGGAAUACCCGAAGCCUGUGAGCUAACUUAUAGAGGCAGCAGUCGAAGGUAGAAUCAAUGAUUGGGGUGAAGUCGUAACAAGGUACC
rnacentral:rRNA from 1 species